rnacentral:rRNA from 1 species
UACGGAGGAUCCGAGCGUUAUCCGGAAUCAUUGGGUUUAAAGGGUCCGUAGGUGGACGAUUAAGUCAGAGGUGAAAUCCUGCAGCUCAACUGUAGAAUUGCCUUUGAUACUGGUCGUCUUGAAUUAUUGUGAAGUGGUUAGAAUAUGUAGUGUAGCGGUGAAAUGCAUAGAUAUUACAUAGAAUACCAAUUGCGAAGGCAGAUCACUAACAAUAUAUUGACACUGAUGGACGAAAGCGUGGGGAGCGAACGGG